CAAGCGGUGGAGCAUGUGGUUUAAUUCGAUGCAACGCGAAGAACCUUACCUACUCUUGACAUCCACGGAACUUGGCAGAGAUGCCUUGGUGCCUUCGGGAACCGUGAGACAGGUGCUGCAUGGCUGUCGUCAGCUCGUGUUGUGAAAUGUUGGGUUAAGUCCCGCAACGAGCGCAACCCUUAUCCUUUGUUGCCAGCGAUUCGGUCGGGAACUCAAAGGAGACUGCCGGUGAUAAACCGGAGGAAGGUGGGGAUGACGUCAAGUCAUCAUGGCCCUUACGAGUAGGGCUACACACGUGCUACAAUGGCGCAUACAAAGAGAAGCGACCUCGCGAGGGCAAGCGGACCUCAUAAAGUACGUCGUAGUCCGGAUUGGAGUCUGCAACUCGACUCCGUGAAGUCGGAAUCGCUAGUAAUCGUGGAUCAGAAUGCCACGGUGAAUACGUUCCCGGGCCUUGUACACACC
rnacentral:rRNA from 1 species